rnacentral:rRNA from 1 species
GAUGAACGCUAGCGGGAGGCCUAACACAUGCCAGCCGAGCGGUAUUUGUUCUUCGGAACAGAGAGAGCGGCGCACGGGUGCGGAACACGUGUGCAACCUGCCUUUAUCUGGGGGAUAGCCUUUCGAAAGGAAGAUUAAUACCCCAUAAUAUAUUGAGUGGCAUCACUUGAUAUUGAAAACUCCGGUGGAUAGAGAUGGGCACGCGCAAGAUUAGAUAGUUGGUGAGGUAACGGCUCACCAAGUCAAUGAUCUUUAGGGGGCCUGAGAGGGUGAUCCCCCACACUGGUACUGAGACACGGACCAGACUCCUACGGGAGGCAGCAGUGAGGAAUAUUGGACAAUGGGUUAGCGCCUGAUCCAGCCAUCCCGCGUGAAGGACGACGGCCCUAUGGGUUGUAAACUUCUUUUGUAUAGGGAUAAACCUACUCUCGUGAGAGUAGCUGAAGGUACUAUACGAAUAAGCACCGGCUAACUCCGUG